UACAUGUGGGGCAAGCGUUGUUCGGAAUUACUGGGCAUAAAGGGUGCGUAGGUGGUUUCUUAAGUCAGGGGUGAAAUCCUGGAGCUCAACUCCAGAACUGCCUUUGAUACUGAGAAGCUUGAGUCCGGGAGAGGUGAGUGGAACUGCGAGUGUAGAGGUGAAAUUCGUAGAUAUUCGCAAGAACACCAGUGGCGAAGGCGGCUCACUGGCCCGGUACUGACGCUGAGGUGCGAAAGCGUGGGGAGCAAACAGG
rnacentral:rRNA from 1 species